CCGAUGGUCAGGAAGCUGAGG
rnacentral:piRNA from 1 species